GGUGGAGGAAGCCUUCAGGCUGACCAGACGCAGAUCUUCGACACAGGAUAAGUGAGCCUUCUCCUCGACUCAGGAUAGUUAAGCCUUCUCUCCCUCGGUGUCAUGAGAGCACUGACCUUCCUGCUUGUGGUGGCCGUGGCUCUGACGGUGAUAGAGGUGGUGCAGGCCAUGCCCGGGCCUUUCCCUGCUGCAGUCCCCAAAGCAGCACCGGAGGCAGAAGCCAAUCCGGAGCCGACUUUCGGGUGGGGAGGAUGGUACCACCGCCCUUAUUUCUACCCCCUCUACCCCUACUAUGGUUAUGGGUACUACUGGGGCUGAAGUGCAGUGACAAGCAAGCAGAGGAAAGCGGUGAGCCCAUAACUUUCCGAAGGGGUUCACACAUUGUAGCACAGUGGCCGCGGGAUGAUCCAUCACCAUCGAUUUCAGUCACCAUCAUCAUCACCGUUUCUCUCGCUGGUACUGUCAGUAUCUCAAAAUUACCUUUUUUUUCACCAAACAGAGUCUUUAUGCAGUCUCUUAUAUGUUAAAAGGUCUAAGAACAAGACAAUAUGUACGUGUAUUCGUAUGUGGUGGUCUCGAAAUAUUUGAUAAUUGUCAGUUUGUCCUUUACAGGCAUUUCCUUGUCUCCACAACAAUAAACUAGGAAGUAGUUAUCGUUAUAGCACUAAUUGUUGAUGUCCUUCUUGUAUGUUAAACCAGAAGAUAUUUACGUAUGCAUCCUCAUUCCAGGAAUCCUUAACCCUUACGUAAAGUGAAUGUUCGGGUGAUAAUUAUUAAUGUCUGUUGUUCAAUUAGCCAAAGGACAUUAACCAAGUAUCUACAAUAAACACACUGUAAAAAAUAAAACCCAUUCAAAAGUA